rfam:Streptomyces nodosus strain ATCC 14899 genome.
UGACCCCGUGCGGGAGAGUCCUCCGGAACGGUCCGGAGGCGCCGAAGGAGCAAACCCUCCCCGGAAUCUCUCAGGCUCACGUACCGCACGGACGAG